AACGAAUGAACGAUCUCUGGAUCCCAGACGACAGUGGAGAGAAGGUGCUGACUCAGACUCCAGAAUUCCUGUCCAAGUCUCCAGGAGAGAAAGCCAUCAUCAACUGCAAAGCCAGUAGUAGUACGGCUUUACAGUGGCACCAGCAGAAACCCGGACAAGCCCCUAAGCUGAUCAUUAAGCAGGCCACCACCCUGAAGCCCGGGGUCCCAGCCCGGUUCAGCGGCAGUGGGUCUGGGACAGAUUUCACCCCGACCAUCGGCGGUGCGGAAACUAUCGAUGCUGCGGACUAUUACCGCCAGCCAGCAGAGCUACACCCCUCCCACAGUGAUUCAGCCCCACACCAAAACCUCCCCAGGCUGGCGGAUCGGUGA